rnacentral:rRNA from 1 species
GACGAACGCUGGCGGCGUGCUUAACACAUGCCAGUCGAACGGAAAGGCCCUGCUUGCAGGGUACUCGAGUGGCGAACGGGUGAGUAACACGUGGGCGAUCUGCCCUGCACUUCGGGAUAAGCCUGGGAAACUGGGUCUAAUACCGGAUAGGAGCCAUUUUUAGUGUGAUGGUUGGAAAGUUUUUUCGGUGUAGGAUGAGCUCGCGGCCUAUCAGCUUGUUGGUGGGGUAAUGGCCUACCAAGGCGGCGACGGGUAGCCGGCCUGAGAGGGUGGACGGCCACAUUGGGACUGAGAUACGGCCCAGACUCCUACGGGAGGCAGCAGUGGGGAAUAUUGCACAAUGGGCGCAAGCCUGAUGCAGCGACGCCGCGUGGGGGAUGACGGCCUUCGGGUUGGAAACUCCUUUCGCUAGGGACGAAGCUUUUUGUGACGGUACCUAGAUAAGAAGCACCGGCUAACUACGUG